rnacentral:rRNA from 1 species
CGGUUCGCUGCCCCCGACGUCGCGAGAAGUCCAUUGAACCUUAUCAUUUAGAGGAAGGAGAAGUCGUAACAAGGUUUCCGUAGGUGAACCUGCGGAAGGAUCAUUG